rnacentral:rRNA from 1 species
GGGGAUAACACUUGGAAACAGGUGCUAAUACCGCAUAACCAUAGUUACCGCAUGGUAACUAUGUAAAAGGUGGCUAUACUACCGCUUUUGGAUGGGCCCGCGGCGCAUUAGCUAGUUGGUAGGGUAAGGGCUUACCAAGGCAAUGAUGCGUAGCCGAAUUGAGAGGUUGAUCGGCCACAUUGGGACUGAGACACGGCCCAAACUCCUACGGGAGGCAGCAGUAGGGAAUCUUCCACAAUGGGCGAAAGCCUGAUGGAGCAACGCCGCGUGGGUGAAGAAGGUCUUCGGAUCGUAAAACCCUGUUGUUAGAGAAGAAAGUGCGUGAGAGUAACUGUUCACGUUUCGACGGUAUCUAACCGGAAAGCCACGGCUAACUACGUGCCAGCAGCCGCGGUAAUACGUAGGUGGCAAGCGUUAUCCGGAUUUAUUGGGCGUAAAGGGAACGCAGGCGGUCUUUUAAGUCUGAUGUGAAAGCCUUCGGCUUAACCGGAGUAGUGCAUUGGAAACUGGGAGACUUGAGUGCAGAGGAGGAGAGUGGAACUCCAUGUGUAGCGGUGAAAUGCGUAGAUAUAUGGAAGAACACCAGUGGCGAAAGCGGCUCUCUGGUCUGUAACUGACGCUGAGGUUCGAAAGCGUGGGUAGCAAACAGGAUUAGAUACCCUGGUAGUCCACGCCGUAAACGAUGAA